GCAGCCGCCGCGGUAAUGCGAAGGGUGCAAGCGUUACUCGGAAUUACUGGGCGUAAAGCGUGCGUAGGUGGUGGGUUAAGUCCGUUGUGAAAGCCCUGGGCUCAACCUGGGAAUUGCAGUGGAUACUGGGUCACUAGAGUGUGGUAGAGGAUAGUGGAAUUUCCGGUGUAGCAGUGAAAUGCGUAGAGAUCGGAAGGAACAUCUGUGGCGAAGGCGACUAUCUGGGCCAACACUGACACUGAGGCACGAAAGCGUGGGGAGCAAACAGGAUUAGAUACCCCUGUAGUCCCUGUCUCUUAUAC
rnacentral:rRNA from 1 species